rnacentral:rRNA from 1 species
UACGUAGGGUGCAAGCGUUGUCCGGAAUUAUUGGGCGUAAAGAGCUCGUAGGCGGUUUGUUGCGUCUGCUGUGAAAACGCGAGGCUCAACCUCGCGCCUGCAGUGGGUACGGGCAGACUAGAGUGCGGUAGGGGAGAUUGGAAUUCCUGGUGUAGCGGUGAAAUGCGCAGAUAUCAGGAGGAACACCGAUGGCGAAGGCGGAUCUCUGGGCCGAUACUGACGCUGAGGAGCGAAAGCGUGGGGAGCGAACAGG